UACGUAGGUGGCAAGCGUUACUCGGAAUCACUAGGCGUAAAGCGCAGGUAGGCGGCUCGAUAAGUCUCUUGUGAAAGCUCCCGGCUCAACUGGGAGAGGUCAAGGGAAACUGUUGGGCUAGAGUGUGGUAGAGGAAACUGGAAUUCCCGGUGUAGCGGUGAAAUGCGUAGAUAUCGGGAGGAAUACCUAUGGCGAAAGCAGGUUUCUGGGCCAUCACUGACGCUGAGCUGCGAAAGCUAGGGGAGCAAACAGG
rnacentral:rRNA from 1 species